ensembl:snoRNA LOC120094440 small nucleolar RNA SNORD18
AGUAAAUGAUGAGAUUUCCAUUGGUCCGUGUUUCUGAACUCCAUGAUUUUUGUGGCUAUUCUGAUACU